rnacentral:tRNA from 1 species
GCCCUCUUAGUGCAGCCGGCAGCGUGUCAGUCUCAUAAUCUGAAGGUCCUGAGUUCCUCAGAGAGGGCG